rnacentral:rRNA from 1 species
AGAGUUUGAUCCUGGCUCAGAGUGAACGCUGGCGGUAUGCUUAACACCUGCAAGUCGAACGAGAACGGUAUAUUCUUCGGAAUAUAUGUCAGCUAAGUGGCGCACGGGUGAGUAACACGUAGCUACCUGCCUCAUAGACCGGGAUAACAGUUGGAAACGACUGCUAAUACUGGAUAUACCCUAAGGGGGAAAGAUUUUAUCGCUAUGAGAUGGGGCUGCGGUGUAUCAGUUAGUUGGUGAGGUAAAGGCUCACCAAGACUAUGACGCAUAACUGGUCUGAGAGGAUGGUCAGUCACACUGGAACUGAGACACGGUCCAGACUCCUACGGGAGGCAGCAGUGGGGAAUAUUGCACAAUGGAGGAAACUCUGAUGCAGCAAUACCGCGUGGAGGAAGAAGCAUUUCGGUGUGUAAACUCCUUUUAUAUUCGAAGAUAAUGACGGUAGAAUAUGAAUAAGCACCGGCUAACUCCGUGCCAGCAGCCGCGGUAAUACGGAGGGUGCAAGCGUUACUCGGAAUCACUGGGCGUAAAGAGCGCGUAGGCGGGUUGUUAAGUUGGAAGUGAAAGCCCACAGCUCAACUGUGGAGCUGCUUCCAAAACUGGCAACCUAGAAUUUG